AGGACAAACGCUGGCGGAAUGUAUUAGGCAUGCAAGUCGCACGAGCCUUCGGGCUAGUGGCGGACGGGUGAGUAACACGUGGGUAACCUGCCUCGUAGUGGGGAAUAACUCGCCGAAAGGCGAGCUAAUACCGCAUAACACCCCCGGUGAGAAUCCGGGCGGUAAAAGCUCUGGCGCUACGAGAGGGGCCCGCGGCCGAUUAGCUAGUUGGUGGGGUAAUGGCCUACCAAGGCGACGAUCGGUAGCUGGUCUGAGAGGAUGGUCAGCCACACGGGGACUGAGAUACGGCCCCGACUCCUACGGGAGGCAGCAGCUAAGAAUCUUGCGCAAUGGGCGAAAAGCCUGACGCAGCAAUUCCGCGUGGGGGACAAGGCCCUCGGGUCCGUAAACCCCUUUUGUGAAGGAAGAAGUUCUGACGGUACUUCACGAAUAAGACACGGCUAACUACGUGCCAGCAGCCGC
rnacentral:rRNA from 1 species